UGGGGCAGCUACCAUGCAGUCGGACGGUAGCACAGAGAACUUGGUCUCGUGUGAGAAGUGUGGGACGGGUGAGUAAUGUGUGGGGAUCUGCCCCAUAUAGGGGGAUAACCCCUGUGAACGGUGGCUAAUACCCCAUAACGUCUCAAGACCAAAAAGGGGGACCUUCUCGCCUCUCUCUAUCUCAUGAACCCCCAUGGGAUUAUCUAUUAUGCGGGGUAAUGGCCCCCCUAUGCGACAAUCCCCCUCUGGGCUGAGAGGAUGACCCCCCCCACUGUAACUGAGACACGGUCCCCACUCCCACAGGAGGCGCCACUGGGGAAUAUUGUGCAAUGUGCGCACGCCUGAUGCGCCCCUGCGCCGUGUAUAAAAAAAGCCUUCUCGUUGUAAAGUACUUUCUCCGCGGAGAAGAGCGACAGGGUUAAUAACCCCGUCUAUUGAGGUUUCCCCCACAAAAAACACC
rnacentral:rRNA from 1 species